rnacentral:rRNA from 1 species
CAUCACUACGCUAGAUGCAUAUCAAUAAGCGGAGGAAAAGAAACUAACAAGGAUUCCCUUAGUAACGGCGAGUGAAGCGGGAAGAGCUCAAAUUUGAAAUCUUCAAGGUUUUACCUUGACGAAUUGUAGUUUAAAGAAGUGUUUUCUGUUGAAGUUUUGGUAAAAGUUCUUUGGAAUAGGACAUCAUAGAGGGUGAGAAUCCCGUAUUUGACCAUUAUUUUCAGCUGUGUGAUACACUUUCAAAGAGUCGGAUUGUUUGGGAAUGCAGUCCAAAAUGGGUGGUAAAUUUCAUCUAAAGCUAAAUAUUGGCGAGAGACCGAUAGCGAACAAGUACCGUGAGGGAAAGAUGAAAAGAACUUUGAAAAGAGAGUUAAACAGUACGUGAAAUUGUCAAAAGGGAAGCGUUUGACACCAGUGUUGUUUUUCCGAAAAUCAAUUACGAAUGUUUUGUUUUUAAGAAGUUAUGACUUCAUCGGCUUGCUUCUUUCUUUACGAAACUUUCUUAAUGCACUUUUCGGUUAACAAGUCAACAUCAAUUUCUUUUGUUGUAAAAGGGUACGAGGAAGGUGGCUUUACUUUCGGAGUAAAGUGUUUAUAGCCUUGUACCUCUGCAAUCGGAGAGAUUGAGGUCUGCAGCGUAGAUCCUUCGGGGCUAGAUACAUUUGUGACUAAGUUAUAGUCUUUUCAUAGACAACUUGUUGACUAUAAUUAAUCCUUGUAACUUACUCGCUAUGCCUAUUUUACCUACGCUUAGGAUGUUGACACACGCGCGUGCUCG